CCCCCUAUUGAAACCCAAUUUCUAGCGUUGUAAGUCCGCAGACAUACCGCUGUGCUACUGGGGGAGGGCAAUUAUCAAAUGGAAUAAUAUUAAUAUUAAAUUAAUCAUUUCUUUUCAUAAAAGUCGAGGGAACUAAGAUAUUACAAAUGCUUCACAAAUUGGAAUCCGAAAUGAACAAUAAAAAGAGAAGAUACGUGUAAUCCAUAAUAAAUUUAUGAUAAACUGUUGAAAACCCCUCCUAAAGAGAUGCCCCCCCAAUGUCUUCGGACUUAUAACACUAGAAACCGGGUUUCGAUACUCGUGGUAGGCAGAGCACAGGUAGCCCAUUGUGUAGCUUUGUGCUUAACUUCAAACAAACGAACACAAGAAGAGAUAAAGGGUGAAAUACUUUCAUAUUGUUGCUAUACAAGGUUUUAAACAAAUGUUUUGCUUCGAAAGAUGUCGCUAGUAUAACUACCAAAAAAAAAAAAGAGUAGCAAAAUUGAUCCCAUUUUAGUAUUCAUUGCUACACCACUUGUUUGUUCUUUGUAUUUUUCACUAACGUAAAACUGCAACAUUUCAGGAUUAGUUUAUUAAAUCUAGAAGAAGAUGGGCGUAUAAUAGUUAUUGGAUGAAUUUUUCAAUAACAUAAAUUCAUUAUAGAUAAUUUUAUUUUGUCUAUAUAUUUGUUGAAUUGUGAUUCUAGUUCGUGAACAUGUAAUAUUUUAAUUCCCCAUACUUUUAUUAACAUUAAAUUACUGAUUUAAUCUUCGUUUUAAUUCGUAAAUUUUCCACAAUUGUUCUAAUAUAUGCUUGCAUUAGAAGAUUAUUAGAUACUCGUGCUGUAUUGAUUUGAUUAUUUUAGAACAUCUUGGGCUGCGUCCACUGUGGGAAUCGAAUUCCGGAUUUUAACACCGUAAAUCAAAAGACUUACCGCUGUACCACCUGGGGACUAUCGUGCUGUAUUUAGAUCAAUAAGAUGACUGGAGAAGCUGUACAUCGUGUUGCCGCUGAAGGAGAUUACACACCAAAACAGGUGUUUAACAUUGACGAAACAGAUUUAUUCUGGAAACGUAUGCCCAGUCGAACUUACAUUUCGAUUGAAGAGAAGACACGACCUGGAUUUAAAACAGCUAAACACCGCUGCACUUUGCUUUUGGGAGGCAAUGCUUCCGGCGAUUAUAAAAUAAGGCCUCUCGUGGUCUAUCAUUCGGAAAAUCCGCGAACAUUAAAGAGGUAUGAAAAAAAAUAAGAUUGUCUGUCAUUUGGAGAGCGAAUAAAAGGACUUGAAUAAAAUCGGCGAUUAUCUGUGGAUGUUUUUCACGAGGAAUUGAAGGCCUACUAUGAAAAGGACAAGAUUCUUCUUGUUGUUGAUGAUACCCAAGAAACAUCACUGACCUCAGCAAAAUAUUCAGGUGUUAUUUCUUCCUCUCAGCACCACGUCCAUCUUCCAUCCAAUGGAUCAAAGGGUAAUAGCUUCCUUUAAAACCUAUUAUUUACGUCGAACUUUCUCCAGGCUUAUAAGGGAGUAUGAUGCAAAUAAGCAGCUCAGCAUCAAGGAUUUCUGGCGCCGUUUUAACAUCAAGAUGGCGAUUGAUAUUAUUCGCAAAGCCUGGGAUGAAGUGUCGUCUCAGUGUAUGUAUAGUGUGGAAGAAACUCUGGCCUGAAUGUGUAAGUAUCGUUAAAGACUUCAGAAUGGAGUGUGAAAUUACAAAUUCAAAGAGAGCUAUUGCUGACAUGGCCCAGCAGGUUGGAUUUGAUGGAGUCGGUGUGGAUGAGGCUAGAAUCGUACCGGGAGGACCUGAACAAUGAAGAUCUUAUGGCUAUGGAGGAGCACAUGAAAGAGGAAUCUGACUCAAGUCCUGAGGAGAUUCGGCUUGUGAGGACCCUCACAACAAAAAUCAUGUCUCAGGCUUUCAAAUUGAUUGACAGCUCUCUUUGAUGAACAGACCUCAUGAGAAGUUCUAAGGUGAGGAGGGAAGUCGAACAUUCCUUUAAAUGUUAUAAAGAGGAAUAUAAUCAGAAAUUAAAGUCAAGUUUCAAUCAAAAAGUCUUUGGAGAAGCAGCCUUCAGCUUCCUCCACACCUUCCAUUCUUUCCAAGGUUUCGAAUUAAGCUGGAGAGCAAGAUGUUUGUGCAUUAUAUGUAUGAAUGUAUAUACAUAUUAAUUUUGAAAGUACAGUAAUAUUUUAAAAAUUUAUUUAUUCUAUUUUUUGCUCCUGUGUUUUAAUGAGUAAAAGAAGUAGGAUGAUUAGAGAUUAAAUUGAAAAGCAAAAUUUAUGUGUUUAAGAACGUAACCUCUAUUAUGUAUUACAUGUUGUAGGCUUCUCGUUUUACGCAUUUGCGAUAUACGCGACGAUUCUUGGGAACACAACUCUCGCGUAUAACGAGAGUCACCUGUACCUAUGACUAGAAAAUUGUAAUGAGAGUAAUAAAAACAAGAUAUUUUUUUCCAUUGAA